rnacentral:lncRNA from 1 species
AGAAACCGGUACACGUUGGAAGGACUAUAUAUUGGUGACUCUGUUGUUAAGCGCUAUUAUUGGCUGUUGGUAUGCUUACCAGCAAAAUAAAAAUGCCAAGCGUCACCUACGUCGUAUGGCUCAGGAUAUGGAAGGAUUGCAGAAAGCCGAACAAAGUCUACAGGAGAUGCAGAAGGUUUGUUGGUUUGAUAAAAAUAAUUUUAAAUAAUUGUUGAAUAUUGUAGGAACUAGAGCGUGCUAGAAUGGAACAGGAAAAUGUGGCAACGGAAAAAAUGGACCUAGAACGGCGUCUUAAAGAGGCCCCCUCUCUUAGCUCAUCAAACUCAGACCUAGAGGUGUUGCAGUUGAAAAAAGAAGUGGAAAUGUUGCGAAAUGAAUUGUCGCGGGCCGAAUUCGAGUUGGUUGAUAAUUGCUGGGCCCCACCUCCGCAACUUCAAUCGUGGUUGCAAUACACAUAUGAACUAGAAAGUAAGAACCAUCAGAAGAAGCGCGCAUCUGCAGAGAAGCAGCUUCAGUCAGCAAGAGAGGCUUGUGAAAAAUUGCGUAAGAAGCGUUCGAGUUUGGUAGGAGCGUUUGUGUCUACCCACGGAAAAAGUAUUGAUGACGUUGAUCGUUCUAUUGUUGAGGCCCGCAAUGCUCUAGGAGAAGUAACAAAUGAACUACAAGAGCGAUUGCAUCGCUGGAAACAAAUUGAAACGUGCCUUGGAAUAAAUAUCGUAAAUAACAAUGGGUUGUCAUGUUUGGAAAAUGUGCUGUAUGGUCGCAAUGGUGGUUUCCAAAGUUCGAUUGGAGGAAGUGGUUCAAAAGGCUCAAGAAGUAAGCAUUUAUCUGUUUUUAAUAUUGUUUGGUACAAGUCGAAAUUUACCAUGAAUAUUCUUUGUCUGUUUAAAAAGCACGAAUUACUAGCAGUACUGAUGACCUAGAUGACGAGUCUGUGCAAGGUAAGCUGAACUUUGAGAACUUUUCGCUGCUCGCAACGGAAUAAACCUGCUGCGUCCGAUUGCACAACACAACUCAUCAAUAAAUACAAACAAACUGACAACUUACAGACAGUAAAAAACAGAGCUCGAUUGCUUUUUACUUAUUGAGUCUCAAUGAAAUUGUUGAAAAAUAAGAGAUUCUAUGUGUGUUUAUCAUUCAUGUAUUAAUGAUUAUGUAUAAAAUUGUAAUAUAGAUUUGUAUCUUAUAAUUGAUGAAGCUAAUAUUGCAUCCAUUAUGUUAUAUGAAGAUAUUUUUCAAAAACAAGCACAAAUGACGUGAUAUACUUUGAAAAUAUGCACGUAUUGAAUGUACUUAUAAAUAAUUUACAAUAAUCGUAGUGUGUUAAAUAAAUUAAACGCUAAUCUUUUUUAAUGGCUUGCCGCUACCUUCAGAACUUUUUAUUACUUUGCAGAGAGAAUACAUCUUAAAAUAUGCCAUUCAGUUAAAUUGUAAUAGUUGAUUGUCUUCCUAAAUUUAAUACAUUUACAUCAAUGUAUACUAAAAUGUAUAAAAUUAUUGUUAAAAUAUGUGUUAACUUUUUCUCUGACACUUAACCUACAGAACUGAACCAGACAAAUUGCUCAUAUUGGACGGAACUUUUCUAAAUGUUGACGUUCCCAAGACAGGAAAAGUCGAAAUAAACUAGUUUAUUUUUGUUUAUAUAUUAUUCGUAUAGGCUCGUUUAUAUAGAGGAUUCUUUGGAUGGAGGAACAAUAUUUAAAAGUCCCUUUCGUUUAUUUGUAUAAAAUUUUGACACAUUUGCCUGUAACGUACCGAAUGGGAUAUAAAUUAGAAAUGCGUUUUUAGUUUUGGCCAAAUAGCUUUAGCUUAGCCAUUUAUUCAAAUAUAUAAACGAUGCCUUUAAUGACACUCAAUUGACAUGGUUAUACGUAUAAAGUAUAAAACAAAAACAAAUAAUUUAUUUCGAUGAUUCUUGAGUUUUCAAAGUAGAAAUUUGAAAGCGUAAUAUAUCCCAGUUUUUGUUUUGGUUGUUCCAUAGAGUAUUCUUUUCCUGUGAACAAUUUAAAAAAUAUGUGAAUUAAGCGAAUGAUAUCGAAAUGUAUAAUUAAAAAAAUAUUUUGCAAGGGAUUUC